AAGUCGUAACAAGGUCUCCGUUGGUGAACCAGCGGAGGGAUCAUUACCGAGUUUACAACUCCCAAACCCCUGUGAACAUACCUUAAUGUUGCCUCGGCGGAUCAGCCCGCGCCCCGUAAAACGGGACGGCCCGCCAGAGGACCCAAACUCUAAUGUUUCUUAUUGUAACUUCUGAGUAAAACAAACAAAUAAAUCAAAACUUUCAACAACGGAUCUCUUGGUUCUGGCAUCGAUGAAGAACGCAGCAAAAUGCGAUAAGUAAUGUGAAUUGCAGAAUUCAGUGAAUCAUCGAAUCUUUGAACGCACAUUGCGCCCGCUGGUAUUCCGGCGGGCAUGCCUGUUCGAGCGUCAUUUCAACCCUCAAGCCCUCGGGUUUGGUGUUGGGGAUCGGCUCUGCCUUCUGGCGGUGCCGCCCCCGAAAUACAUUGGCGGUCUCGCUGCAGCCUCCAUUGCGUAGUAGCUAACACCUCGCAACUGGAACGCGGCGCGGCCAUGCCGUAAAACCCCAACYUUCUGAAUGUUGACCUCGGAUCAGGUAGGAAUACCCGCUGAACUUAA
rnacentral:misc_RNA from 1 species